UAGCUUGCUAAGACCGAUGGCGACAGGCGCACGGGUGAGUAACACGUAUCCAACCUGCCGUCUACUCUUGGACAGCCUUCUGAAAGGAAGAUUAAUACAAGAUGGCAUCAUGAGUCCGCAUGUUCACAUGAUUAAAGGUAUUCCGGUAGACGAUGGGGAUGCGUUCCAUUAGAUAGUAGGCGGGGUAACGGCCCACCUAGUCUUCGAUGGAUAGGGGUUCUGAGAGGAAGGUCCCCCACAUUGGAACUGAGACACGGUCCAAACUCCUACGGGAGGCAGCAGUGAGGAAUAUUGGUCAAUGGGCGCAGGCCUGAACCAGCCAAGUAGCGUGAAGGAUGACUGCCCUAUGGGUUGUAAACUUCUUUUAUAAAGGAAUAAAGUCGGGUAUGUAUACCCGUUUGCAUGUACUUUAUGAAUAAGGAUCGGCUAACUCCGUGCCAGCAGCCGCGGUAAUACGGAGGA
rnacentral:rRNA from 1 species